CUAUGUUUAAUGCAUGGUAGAGUAUCUACGCUUUAAGUUCUCUCACUUCUCUACCUGUCAGUUAAAAACUACAUCAUAACUUACAAGUUUGAGUGACGAGUAUGUCCGACGACCUCCGAAAGGUCUCCGAAGUUUUUACUCUUGUGCAAUCGAGUGAGAUCAUAUAAAUUGAUUAUCGCGUAUCAUGUUUAUUAUGACUAUUAUAAAAUAGAUCGAAAUAAACAAAGCAAAAUCACAGUUCACGAAACAGACAUCCUUAAUUCUCAUUUCACGGAGCAUUUUUAUCGACAAUCACGCCUCACGGCUGUAGAACAAAUCACAUUUCACGACACUAAAAUCAAGCAUUUCACAUUUCACGCGAACAAAUAUUGACUAUUCACG
rnacentral:lncRNA from 1 species